CUUGUAAAAAAUACUGCAGAUAUACGUGCAGAUAUGGUAUAUCACGGUGUUAUCAUUCUUGGAUUUCGAUAAUGCUUUAAACACGGGUGACUUCGACAUCUUAGUACGCAUAUUGUGUUCUCUUACUUAAUGUAUUUCCUGUGACAGUGAACUAGUUCCAUAGUUAUUAAGUGGGGCGUCAACAGAGGUGAAUUGCUUUUAAUCUUCAUUGUGCCUGCAUAGGACGGGGCAGCGUGUUGUCUCCUGUUUCAUUUCCUUACUUUAUUAACUCUAACACGUCAUAUUUUCUUCUUCUACCACUUUAAACAUACUGUCAAGGCUCUUUUACUCAUCUACCAUAGACUAUCUGCACCAUGAACAUGAACACUAAUUUAGAAAGCAUUUUGAUUUGGAUUUUCACGUUACGGUCUCAAGGUUAAUCCACCGAAAUUUAAGUUAUAGUGAUAGGUACCUAGGUCAAAGUGUUCAAAGUGUAUUUUCUUCUACCACAUUGAUCAUGGCUGGUUCACAAGACUCUCUGCAGCCGGCAUUGCAAGCACGCCGCGAAGAGCAGCGUCGCCGAGAAGAGCAGCAGCGGCGAGAUGCGGAGCGUCGUCAAGAAGAGAAGCGGCAACGAGAGGAGCAGGCUCGGCGAGCUGGGGAGAGUCGCAAAGAACAUGAGCGUCGGCAAGAUCAGCUUGUAACGUUAUACGUUACAUGAAAGUACUAUUAUUUAAAUAAACUACAUGAAUAAAUGAAGAUACAACUUAAAACUAAUUUUACAAAUUAAUAUUUUCAAUUUUAAACAUAAACAUGCAACAAGUCUUCGUCGGCGCCGUUUUAGCGCUCUUCGAAAGAUUUCGUAUGCCACAUUUUAGCGCUCACGGUAACGAGUUCUUUUGUUUGUCGAAUAUACUUAUAGGGAGUUGCAUUAGCGGAUCGCUCCCACCAUUCCCGAACUGCACUCGAGAUAGAACACACGUCACACGGAUCAUCGGUCUCUGAUACGUACCUAAUUUUGGAAAAUGUAACCGAUAUGAUAUAAUUAAUAUGCGUGUUGUCAUCUCUAAACGUUCCUCAAAGUGUUUAGCGUCGUAAAUACGUUAAAUGUUAUAAUGCGAGUGUGAAUAAACACCAAAUUGGGGUCCAACGUUCGGGCUGCUAUUUUGGGUGGAGGUUCCACCGCAGCCACACCUACCACCAACGCUACUCUCGCCAGUAGAAGGGCGAGCUCUUCAUCAAGCCCCGGGCAGCCAAGUACAGUCGUCCACAAUUGCGGCGCCCGACGGCACAACCCAGGCGAGAGUACCUAACCGCAAAAUGGAUAGGAUCUUUGUGUGAAUUUAUAAAACCAAACCUGCGACCCAUUUUAGUUAAGUGGCCCCCGCGUAUUCCUUAUCGUUGUUUUUUUAUUUUUUAUUUUAAAUUAAAUAUUUUUUAUUUUG